rnacentral:tRNA from 1 species
GCCGGGUGGCUCAGUUGGUUAAGCAUCUGACUUUGGCUCAGGUCAUGAUCUCACAGUUUGUGGGUUCAAGUCCCGCAUCGGGCU